GCGAUAGCUUGCAAACCACACAAGAGAUGUGAACUGCAUUGGGCAAGCCUGGUGCGACGGGCUCUGAUGGAGAAGAUUACAAGAUAAUGUUGAUGAUUCUUUUCGCUCUUAAAAUAAUUUAAUCAGAUACUGCAACUACACAAUUAAAUAAGUGCAAUCCGGCCACUAAUGCGGCUAGGGUUGAUAUUGGCCCUACUAAAGAGCUCCGGUAAGUUACUGCUUUGUAGCUUUUCACACUUGAGCUAAUCUGUAGAAUACCAUGAAAAGUUAAUUGGUUCUCUCUUCUAUCUUAUUCAUUGUAAAACAAUAUUGUUGAAGCUUCUUCCAUUUUAAUUUCAUUGUUGUCUCAGAGUAUCUGAAGCAAGUAUUCAAAAAUUAAGCUAUUUCGAAUUGGUCAUUGAAAUCACUUGUGGUGAGGAGCUAACAUAUUGCUGGAUGGAAGGCCAAAUCUGAAUUAUGCAGGUGCACAAAACCCCAAUCAGUUUGCUAAUCGUCUGCCCAACCUUGCAAUACAAGGAUGAUCUUAUCCUAUUUCUGAAUCAUUUGCUCCACUUUUGUGCAAAAAAAUUGGUGAACCUAGAUAGAAUGGGGAUGGCGACUCUUACAAUCAAAUAUAUUGCAUGGAGGGUUCUUUCAUUAUUGUAAAAUAGAAGCAUGUCACCGGUACUUCAACUGUACUUGGGUGCACUUUAUCUCUUGUACUUUCAAUCAAGCAACAAAAUU